AGCAAUGGAUUUUGUUUGGCAAACACAGAGACCAUCAUCUAUGACUACAGUGCACCACAGGAUAGAGACCGGUCAGUGUCCACAUGCACAGUCUGCAGGAUUUGGAACAAGUCACCAAACAUCAACAUGCAUGCAACUUUCUUACACUACAUUUUCCAAUGCCUUGUCUUCAGAGUAUUUCAUCUUUUCAAUAUUUUUUCAUGUAUGACACCCAAUCUGGGUUUAAGGAGACCCUGGACCUCGUUGAGACAGCAUCAACGGAAGGUACUGUAGUGCCGAAGACCAAGAAACGUCUUUCCCUAACCUGACCUACUACCAACUACGAGACUGAUAUUCUGGAAUGAAUGGCAGUGGCUGCCAUAUUGUUUGAGUCUGUAUGGCUCUCACUUAUGUCUACCUAUAAUUUCACUGAUCCGGUCCAAAUGUUGUAGGUUACAGACUGCUGCUGCUAGAUUCAAAUGGUUUCAUGUUAGUAAGGGAGUAAAAAUACUAUCGCUAUGCUCUAUGAGACCAUUUGAGAUUAGGGUCUUCACAUUCUCGUUCUCCAAACUGAUUAACCAAUUCUGCAUUGUUACUCUAAUAAAGACAUUUUUGAAAGGGAA